UGAGUCGGCCGGGCGGUCGCGUCGAAGAUUCAUCUUCGCCGAGGAAAGUCCGGGCUCCGAAGGGCAGGGUGGUGGCUAACGGCCACCCGGGGUGACCCGCGGGACAGUGCCACAGAAAACAGACCGCCGCGCUUCGUGCGCGGUAAGGGUGAAACGGUGGUGUAAGAGACCACCAGCGCUCCAGGUGACUGGAGCGGCUCGGUAAACCCCACCCGGAGCAAGAUCGAACAGUGCGCGUCGAAGCUGCCCGCUGAGCGCACGGGUAGAUUGCUCGAGCCACGCAGCAAUGCGCGGCCUAGAUGGAUGAUCGCCGAAGCGACACCGGUGACGGUGCGCGGAACACAACCCGGCUUACAGGCCGGCUCAUCCC
rfam:Dermacoccus sp. PE3 Contig3, whole genome shotgun sequence.